CUUCUAGAAAAAAAUAAUGAGGGGUGUCACGGGGUAUGACUAUAUAGGUCUUGUAGAGGAGAAACAGGCGCAUCUUUUGUGCAAGGUAUCGAAGGGCGCUAUGUUCAAAAAUCUGAAACUAGAGCUCAAAAUUAAAAAAAAAAUGUUAAAAACAGGGGGGUUGGCCUAUUCCAUGGCUUCUAGAGAAAAAUAAUGAGGGGUGUCACGGGGUAUGACUAUAUAGGUCUUGAAGAGGAGAAACAGGCGCAUCUUUUGCGCAAGGUAUCAAAGGGCGCUAUGUUCAAAAAUCUGACACUAGAGCUCAAAAUUAAAAAAAAAAAAUGUUAAAAACAGGGAGAUUGGCCUAUUCCAUGGCUUCUAGAGAAAAAUAAUGAGGGGUGUCACGGGGUAUGACUAUAUAAGUCUUGUAGAGGAGAAACAGGCGCAUCUUUUGCGCAAGGUAUCGAAGGGCGCUAUGUUCAAAAAUCUGAAACUAGAGCUCAAAUUUAAAACAAAAAAAUGUUAAAAACAGGGAGGUUGGCCUAUUCCAUGGCUUCUAGAGAAAAAUAAUGAGGGGUGUCACGGGGUAUGACUAUAUAGGUCUUGAAGAGGAGAAACAGGCGCAUCUUUUGCGCAAAGUAUCGAAGGGCGCUAUGUUCAAAAAUCUGACACUAGAGCUCUAAAUUUAAAAAAAAAAUGUUAAAAACAGGGGGGUUGGCCUAUUCCAUGGCUUCUAGAGAAAAAUAAUGAGGGGUGUCAUGGGGUAUGACUAUAUAGGUCUUGUAGAGGAGAAACAGGCGCAUCUUUUGUGCAAGGUAUCGAAGGGCGCUAUGUUCAAAAAUCUGAAACUAGAGCUCAAAAUUAAAAAAAAAAAUGUUAAAAACAGGGGGGUUGGCCUAUUCCAUGGCUUCUAGAGAAAAAUAAUGAGGAGUGUCACGGGGUAUGACUAUAUAGGUCUUGUAGAGGAGAAACAGGCGCAUCUUUUGCGCAAGGUAUCGAAGGGCGCUAUGUUCAAAAAUCUGAAACUAGAGCUCAAAAUUAAAAAAAAAAAUGUUAAAACAGGGGGUUGGCCUAUUCCAUGGCUUCUAGAGAAAAAAAAUGAGGGGUGUCACGGGGUAUGACUAUAUAGGUCUUGAAGAGGAGAAACAGGCGCAUCUUUUGCGCAAGGUAUCGAAGGGCGCUAUGUUCAAAAAUCUGAAACUAGAGCUCAAAAUUAAAAAAAAAAUGUUAAAAACAGGGAGGUUGGCCUAUUCCAUGGCUUCUAGAGAAAAAUAAUGAGGGGUGUCACGGGGUAUGACUAUAUAAGUCUUGUAGAGGAGAAACAGGCGCAUCUUUUGCGCAAGGUAUCGAAGGGCGCUAUGUUCAAAAAUCUGAGACUAGAGCUCAAAAUUAAAACAAAAAAAUGUUAAAAACAGGGGGGUUGGCCUAUUCCAUGGCUUCUAGAGAAAAAUAAUGAGGGGUGUCACGGGAUAUGAUUAUAUAGGACUUGUAGAGGAGAAACAGGCGCAUCUUUUGCGCAAGGUAUCGAAGGGCGCUAUGUUCAAAAAUCUGAAACUAGAGCUCAAAAUUAAAAAAAAAAAUGUUAAAAACAGGGGGGUUGGCCUAUUCCAUGGCUUCUAGAGAAAAAUAAUGAGGGGUGUCACGGGGUAUGACUAUAUAGGUCUUGUCGAGGAGAAACAGGCGCAUCUUUUGUGCAAGGUAUCGAAGGGCGCUAUGUUCAAAAAUCUGAAACUAGAGCUCAAAAUUAAAAAAAAAAAAAUGUUAAAAACAGGGGGGUUGGCCUAUUCCAUGGCUUCUAGAGAAAAAUAAUGAGGGGUGUCACGGGGUAUGACUAUAUAGGUCUUGUCGAGGAGAAACAGGCGCAUCUUUUGUGCAAGGUAUCGAAGGGCGCUAUGUUCAAAAAUCUGAAACUAGAGCUCAAAAUUAAAAAAAAAAAUGUUAAAAACAGGGAGGUUGGUCUAUUCCAUGGCUUCUAGAGAAAAAUAAUGAGGGGUGUCACGGGACAUGACUAUAUAGGUCUUGUAGAGGAGAAACAGGCGCAUCUUUUGCGCAAGGUAUCGAAGGGCGCUAUGUUAAAAAAUCUGUAACUAGAGCUCUAAAUUAAAAAAAAAAUGUUAAAAACAGGGGGGUUGGCAUAUUCCAUGGCUUCCAGAGAAAACUAAUGAGGGGUGUCACGGGGUAUGACUAUAUAGGUCUUGAAGAGGAGAAACAGGCGCAUCUUUUGCGCAAGGUAUCGAAGGGCACUAUGUUCAAAAAUCUGACACUAGAGCUCAAAAUUUAAAAAAAAAAUGUUAAAAACAGGGAGGUUGGCCUAUUCCAUGGCUUCUAGAGAAAAAUAAUGAGGGGUGUCAUGGGGUAUGACUAUAUAGGUCUUGUAGAGGAGAAACAGGCGCAUCUUUUGUGCAAGGUAUCGAAGGGCGCUAUAUUCAAAAAUCUGAAACUAGAGCUCAAAAUUUAAAAAAAAAAAGUUAAAAA